UGCUCAGCGGGGAGACGGCUCAGUCUCCUGUCUCGGAUGGCUUGGACUUCUCUAAUUGAUCCACAACAGCAGUGAGACACCGAUCGAUGAGCGAAUCACAUCCGGAACAUGGUAGGAUGCAUGCAGAACUUCGAGGUAUGAAGACCCCAGAGAAGACAGCCGUAACUCAGUGUAAAUGAUGAUACUUCAUUUAGCUCCUGUAGCUCUUCUGCACUACCAUGUCAUCUUUGGAAGGAUUACUAAUGAAAAAAAUCCAAGGAAUCAGCAAUCUCUUCAGUGCCAUUGUCUAUGCACCAUGAUCCAGUGAUCUUGCCAUGAGGGGUGUCCAGUCUCUAACAUAUGCUCCUUACUACGAUUAAAACACCCACACUCGAUCUAAGUUACAGAGACAGAUGAUAUUCAUCUGCAUAGCCGCAUGCACCUGCAUGCUAAUGAAAACAA